AGAAUCAACGCUGGCGGCGUGCCUAACACAUGCAAGUCGCACGAGAAAGGGGAGCAAUCCCUGAGUACAGUGGCGCACGGGUGAGUAACACGUGAAUUAUCUACCUCCGAGUGGGGAAUAACUGAGAGAAAUCUUAGCUAAUACCGCAUAACACUUACGAGUCAAAGCAGCAAUGCGCUUGGAGAGGAGUUCGCGGCCGAUUAGUUAGUUGGCGGGGUAAUGGCCCACCAAGACGAUGAUCGGUAU
rnacentral:rRNA from 1 species